rnacentral:lncRNA from 1 species
CGCAAAAGUGCCUCUGAGGCUGUCUAUAUGAAUGCCUAACUUUCCAUUCACUGUUUCUUAUUCAUCACUGUGAGGUGCUAAUUUCCAAUUCUGUGUCAUUUCUGUCUUGUUUAAGACAGUUACAGCCAGGAACCAGAAAACGUUUUCUGUCAUCCAGCGCACCAACUGAGGUGAAUGGUGGCAAAUCAAACAAGCAUCCUUGCCGCAGGUUAUUGUCAGCAGGCAUGGUGACUCCACAAAUAUUGGCAUGCUAGAACUUCUCAUCCAGUUCCCUUUCUUCUUCAUGUAUCUAAUUUACAACUCUAAACCCCAGUUUGUGGUUGGUCUCUCAUUUGAGAAGGUCAAGAAGGAAUGCAGCAGUGAUAGCUCUCCAUAUUCCCUGUUGUAUACAGUUAAAUACUGCAGCAGAAAAACUGAAGGCUCACUGAUGAGGGCUGAAGAGAUGUAAGAGCCAUUAAAUCAUUACAGCAAUAAUGGAUGAAGCGAAUGUGUUCUCAAGGAAACAAAUAUAAUACAAGAGGCAGACUCACAGGGAGCUGAUUGGAUGAAGUCAAUUUAAAGUGAGAAAUGUACCUUCAUACCAGGAGAAAUUGAAGAUACUGGAAAUAACAAGCAGUUGGAGAAUAUUUGGCUCAAGAAAAUAAAGAGAUUUUUCUCUCUAGAGGCGUGACUGUG